AUCCAGGUGACGAGUCCCAGACAGGACGAAAUGCGCCUUAUCCUGGAU
rnacentral:hammerhead_ribozyme from 1 species